AAUCAUCAACCGGUUCAUCCUUUGUUGGAUGUGGCGGCUUGGACUUGGAGGGUUAUGCUGGUCUCUUGAUGGGAUCGGCUCCUCUUGAAUGCAUUAGCUUGAACCUACGCUGUAUCGGCUGUUCGGUGUGAUAAUUGUCUACGCCGUGGCUGUGAGGCCCGUUGAAAGACGGUGAUAGGAUCUGGCUUCUAACUGUCCCGCAGAUGGGACAACAUCUUAGUUGAC
rnacentral:misc_RNA from 1 species